GAUGAACGCUGGCGGCGUGCCUAACACAUGCAAGUCGAGCGAAGCACUUACUUUAGAUUUCUUCGGAAUGCCGAAGUUUGUGACUGAGCGGCGGACGGGUGAGUAACGCGUGGGCAACCUGCCCUGUACAGGGGGAUAACAGUUAGAAAUGACUGCUAAUACCGCAUAAGCCCACAGCUUCGCAUGAAGCAGUGGGAAAAACUCCGGUGGUACAGGAUGGGCCCGCGUCUGAUUAGCUAGUUGGUAAGGUAACGGCUUACCAAGGCGACGAUCAGUAGCCGACCUGAGAGGGUGACCGGCCACAUUGGGACUGAGACACGGCCCAAACUCCUACGGGAGGCAGCAGUGGGGAAUAUUGCACAAUGGGGGAAACCCUGAUGCAGCGACGCCGCGUGAGCGAUGAAGUAUUUCGGUAUGUAAAGCUCUAUCAGCAGGGAAGAAGGUGACGGUACCUGACUAAGAAGCCCCGGCUAACUACGUG
rnacentral:rRNA from 1 species